rnacentral:rRNA from 1 species
UUGAUCCCGCCGGACCUGACUGCUAUCGGAUUGAUACUAAGCCAUGCGAGUCAUUGUAGCAAUGCAAGGCAGACGGCUCAGUAACGCGUAGUCAACCUACCCUAUGGACGGGAAUAAUCUCGGGAAACUGAGGAUAAUUCCAGAUAGAACACUAUGCCUGGAACGGUUUGUGUUCCAAAUGAUUUAUCGCCAUAGGAUGGGACUGCGGCCUAUCAGUUUGUUGGUGAGGUAAUGGCCCACCAAGACUAUUACAGGUACGGGCUCUGAGAGGAGUAGCCCGGAGAUGGGUACUGAGACACGGACCCAGGCCCUAUGGGGCGCAGCAGGCGAGAAAACUUUGCAAUGUGCGAAAGCACGACAAGGUUAAUCCGAGUGGUUCCUGCUAAAGGAACCUUUUGACGGUCCUAAAAACACCGUUGAAUAAGGGGUGGGCAAGUUCUGGUGUCAGCCGCCGCGGUAAAACCAGCACCUCAAGUGGUCAGGAUGAUUAUUGGGCCUAAAGCAUCCGUAGCCGGCUCUGUUAGUUUUCGGUUAAAUCUGUACGCUCAACGUACAGGCUGCCGGGAAUACUACAGAGCUAGGGAGUGGGAGAGGUAGACGGUACUUGGUAGGAAGGGGUAAAAUCCUUUGAUCUAUUGAUGACCACCUGUGGCGAAGGCGGUCUACUAGAACACGUCCGACGGUGAGGGAUGAAAGCUGGGGGAGCAAACCGGAUUAGAUACCCGGGUAGUCCCAGCUGUAAACCAUGCAAACUCAAUGAUGCACUGGCUUGAAGCCAAUGCAGUGUUGCAGGGAAGCCGUUAAGUUUGCCGCCUGGGAAGUACGUACGCAAGUAUGAAACUUAAAGGAAUUGGCGGGGGAGCACCACAAGGGGUGAAGCCUGCGGUUC